UAGGGAAUCUUCGGCAAUGGGGGGAACCCUGACCGAGCAACGCCGCGUGAGUGAAGAAGGUUUUCGGAUCGUAAAGCUCUGUUGUUAAGGAAGAACGAGUGUGAGAAUGGAAAGUUCAUGCUGUGACGGUACUUAACCAGAAAGGGACGGCUAACUACGUGCCAGCAGCCGCGGUAAUACGUAGGUCCCGAGCGUUGUCCGGAUUUAUUGGGCGUAAAGCGAGCGCAGGCGGUUAGAAAAGUCUGAAGUGAAAGGCAGUGGCUCAACCAUUGUAGGCUUUGGAAACUGUUUAACUUGAGGGCAGAAGGGGAGGGUGGAAUUCCAUGGGUAGCGGUGAAAGGCGUAGAUAUAUGGAGGAACACCGGUGGCGAAAGCGGCUCUCUGGUCUGUAACUGACGCUGAGGCUCGAAAGCGUGGGGAGCGAACAGG
rnacentral:rRNA from 1 species